rnacentral:rRNA from 1 species
AGUGGCGAACGGGUGAGUAACACGUGGGCAACCUGCCCAAAAGAGGGGGAUAACACUUGGAAACAGGUGCUAAUACCGCAUAACCAUAGUUACCGCAUGGUAACUAUGUAAAAGGUGGCUAUGCUACCGCUUUUGGAUGGGCCCGCGGCGCAUUAGCUAGUUGGUGGGGUAAAGGCUUACCAAGGCAAUGAUGCGUAGCCGAACUGAGAGGUUGAUCGGCCACAUUGGGACUGAGACACGGCCCAAACUCCUACGGGAGGCAGCAGUAGGGAAUCUUCCACAAUGGGCGAAAGCCUGAUGGAGCAACGCCGCGUGGGUGAAGAAGGGUUUCGGCUCGUAAAGCUCUGUUGGUAGUGAAGAAAGAUAGAGGUAGUAACUGGCCUUUAUUUGACGGUAAUUACCUAGAAAGUCACGGCUAACUACGUGCCAGCAGCCGCGGUAAUACGUAGGUGGCAAGCGUUGUCCGGAUUUAUUGGGCGUAAAGCGAGUGCAGGCGGUUCAAUAAGUCUGAUGUGAAAGCCUUCGGCUCAACCGGAGAAUUGCAUCAGAAACUGUUGAACUUGAGUGCAGAAGAGGAGAGUGGAACUCCAUGUGUAGCGGUGGAAUGCGUAGAUAUAUGGAAGAACACCAGUGGCGAAAGCGGCUCUCUAGUCUGUAACUGACGCUGAGGUUCGAAAGCGUGGGUAGCAAACAGGAUUAGAUACCCUGGUA